rnacentral:tRNA from 1 species
AGUCUCGAGGUGUUUUACAUGUCGGAUUGCAAAUCCGAAGUAGUCGACUGACGUCGACCGGGGCUU